rnacentral:lncRNA from 1 species
UGGAUGGUCUCGGUGAUCUGGUCGCCGUGGAGGUGGAUGGAUCUGCUCCCCCCGCUCUAUUCUAUUGCUAUGGCAAUGCCAACAAGUUCGCAACGGGAUCUCUCGGCCGCACCGCACCGCAUCAUUCAUCCGCUCUGCAGGGUACAGUCCAGUACAGUACCCCCGCUCGGUGUCGGUGCGGUGGGAGGCCGUUAAAGCCGCGGCAGCCAGGCUGGCGGCUCUGCCUGCGUCGCCUCCCCCAGAUCCACAUCCAUCCUAUCCCCUGGGCCUUGUUUAGUUCCAAAAUAUUUUGCAAAAUGGACACUGUAGCUUUUUCGUUUGUAUUUGAUAAAUAUUGUCCAAUCAUGGACUAACUAGGCUCAAAA